UUUGGGGAAAAAAAACCGAAGGAAGAACUUUUGUCGGGUUUUAGUUUAGUUGCGAAAUGACUUCUGGGACAGGUCGUUCAAAUGCUUCGAUGGAGGCGUAAGCUCCCACAGGCUUUUUCGGAGCGAGAAAACUUCUCAUCCCAUCAAGCAACGGGAAAGCGACGACAGGAACGGCGCGCCGAAUCCGGAACCGAGCGACAGGAGCUGCGCGCGCAGGUGGGAGAAACGGGCCCGCGCAGUUGAGAUAGCAAGGAUCAAGACUACUAUGGAAGAUUUUGAUGGGGACUUCAGUCACAGAAAAGCCAUUAUGUCUGAAUUAUGUUGCAAUCAGAUUGCUGCAAACAUCCUGGUACAGGAUCUCAGAACCUUGGUGGCUUUUACUGACCCAGAGGAUGGAAUACUGGUUCAUACUCCAGAUGGAGGUGUUAAACAUUCUCUGAGAAACAGCUGAAAAAAGUAUUUGGGUGCAGAAAGACCCAAAUCAAGGCAGUA
rnacentral:lncRNA from 1 species